ACCCGAACGGUGUGCUCCCUCCCUUAGCUCAAAAUUUAGGUCACUCUCCCUCCCAAAUCAUUCUCGGCCUGCUCUCUCAUUCACCAUCGCUCUCUCCCUCAAUCCCCCUCACCCUCAUCGAGCCUCUUAGCCUUGCCCUCGCUCUCACUCUCUCUCACUCUCAGUGGGUUUUUCUACUUCAACCUCUGAUACUGCAAGGCAACAUGUAAUUUGCAGAAGUAAGGAGAGAAACGGAGAAUGAAGAGAUCGACAAACUACUUGCAGACCCACUCAGGCAACGAUUGAAGAGCAGAGAGAAGACUGUAGUGCGAAAUAGAAGCAACUGGAGUUCGAGAAAGCUGUCGAAGUUGCAGAUGAAGGUCCAAUUUCGACCCUUUAAUUCUCCGAGUCAAUCGAAUUGAAUCCGACAAUUUCAAGCUAGGUGAAACAAGAAUCGUUGACAAAGUUCCAGUGGUGAUCAUGGAACUGAGUUGAAUCGAUAGGUAUGUUCUUGGACCAAGCAUGAUUGUUUGAUAGGUAUGUUUUUGUUUGAUUAAAAAAAGAAGAUGAUUAUCUGUUGAAAUUUUAAUUUUAUAAACCUCCAGUCUUAGUUUUAUGAUCCAUUUGGUAAAAGGAAAGAUGGGAACUACCCUGGUGCUGUCCCUGCUGCAAAUGGAGCUCCACCAGCUAUGACAUACCAGUAGCUUGAGGGGGAUGUACUCUGUUCCUUAUGCUACCGACAAACACAACCACAUGAUAGGAUGCAUCUUGCAGCGCGUGCAUCCAUUUCAUAGUCACGUCAUCAGCAUCAUUAUCUCUCUUCAUGUGAAUGAAUGCAGUGGCAUCAUGAACAUACCAUUUGGUCAUGUUAUACUGAUUUGAGACAUGCAUUUAUAAUCAGUGUGUGUUAAUUCCUGGAUAUUAGGGGCUAAAUUACUGUUAUCACCUGUAGGAUGAGUAAUGCAUGGGUCUCCUGGUUUGUUGGAUUUGAGUGUGAUCUGCUUAAUAUUAUGUACAUCAAUACUAGGAAUGCACAUCUAUCUAGACA